GGAAGCAUGGAAUCCAAAUAAAUACAGCUGGUAUAGGUGUAGAUUCUGGAAGAUCUAGAAAGCUUUCUGUGCUGAUUAUUGUGUGUAGCUACUCUAUAGGAGUCCACUGCUCAAUAAAAAGGGCCGAAAAUAGCAUAAAGCAUAAUAGGUCUCCUUUUAGUCAUAAUAAACAAUCAAGGUAAGACAGGCGGGAUAGUAAAAGAAAAAUAAGAAAACAGAAUACAAAUAAAUACAUGAAUAACCGGAACAGUUCACUUCCAAUUUCUAAUGUGGUUUCGAUUGCAAUUACAACUACAAAAUAUUUCCAUGGAAAUGCUACCUUUUGUUAACCUCUAGCCUGAAUUGUGUGACAAUUGCUAUAAUUUAGCACAAUUCAAUGGAAUUGCUACAAAAUGCUACUUUGCGGCCCUUUUUGCCAAGGGGCAAAAUGUUAAAAAUGCUAACAGCAAGUAUGCUAGCAAUGGACCCACACUGGGCACGUGCGAAAGUCCAAGAUGGCAACCUUAGUACAGAAACCCUUACAGAUUAUACAUCACAUCCGAUUUCAAAAGGCUACUCAAACUGGAUAAAAUGCUAACAUUUAUGCUAACAAUUAUAACAAAAUAGCAACUGUGAUACAAUAAGAACAAGGCAGACCCAUAAGGACUACCCAUCAUGCCCUGCUAUCAGAAACUUUGAACCUAAUACUAGAUUAUGAAUGAAUGAAAUGCUAACGUGCUAACAAUUAAUAUGCUGACACAAAGCAAGAUAAAAGCUUGAAGACAGAAGCAGAAUUGCAGGACAGUCAGAAGGCAUAUUGAGAGUAAGCGGCUGAGAAACCAAGGAUACCCACCCUCUCUGGCAGUGACCUGGCCGGGCUGGCGUUGAACAUCUUGGACAUGUCCUCAGAGUUGCGUUGCUGUGCCACGUCGCACAGUUUGGCCGUGAUAUCGAUUCGUCUGCAGAUGUCCAUGUCCACUCGCCUGGCUUUCUCCUGAAUCUUGGUGUCCAGAUGCAGUCCAGAAUGAGUACUCACAUCACUCAUCAGGCUCUUGAAGACCACCAAUUCCGCCUUCAGUCUCUCCACCUUGUCGUUCAGUUCAUCCUGAAUCUCGGACGACUCUCUGGCCCGCUGAAACAAAAUACACAACUCAACGAGUCACCAGAAUGAUGCACAAACGGCUUCAGUCGACAUGGGACAAGGAAGAAAUCAUCAGAAACAGGGCAGCACUGCCGACUCGCCCUGGCCAGCGACGGCUCGGGGAGUGAACAGGAAGUGUUGGCGUGUGUUUCAAUGCUAAUGUCGAGUGAAUUUUGAGUAAAAUGGCAGCUUGAGUAUUUUUUUUUACAUUGUUUAGAAACUAGAUUGAUUGAAGUUGUGUAAUAGAUAUUUAGAACACAGGUCAGUUUUAUUUGGAUUAUUUUCCCAAAAUACUCAACACUUAUAUUUGACCUUAUCUUAUUGUUUUGUUGAACACCUUUUAUGCUAUAAUUUUUAUGAAUUUCUUAAUGAAUAAUGCAGAAAUGACCAGAAUUCAGGCAUGUCUAGCAGGUGAGUGUUUACCCAUGAAGGUUCAACCUGGUGCAGAUCCAAAUAGGAUAGUUUGGCCUUGAAGUUUGCACUCAACUGAUUGCUAUUGAAUGUACAGUCCUUUUCCAAAUAGCUUGAAUCUAUCCCAUAAAGAAACAUCUUUGUGUUUGCUGAAAGGUGAAAGCCUCCGGGGGCUCUAACUUCUCCACCUCUACGUGGUGCUUUUUUGUUGACCUCCAAUGCAAAUGUGCAGAGUGCCACCAAUCGAUGUGAGCAAACGCAGAAAGAGGGAUUCCACUGCAGACUCCAGCUGCUCGCGUUUGGACAGCUCCUCCUGCCAUCUGCAACACAACACGCAACAC